rnacentral:rRNA from 1 species
GUGAGGAAUUUUCCGCAAUGGGCGAAAGCCUGACGGAGCAAUGCCGCGUGAAGGAUGAAGGCCUAUGGGUUGUAAACUUCUUUUCUCAGAAAAGAAUUAUGACGGUAUCUGAGGAAUAAGCAUCGGCUAACUCUGUGCCAGCAGCCGCGGUAAGACAGAGGAUGCAAGCGUUAUCCGGAAUGAUUGGGCGUAAAGCGUCUGUAGGUUGUUUACAAAGUAUUCUGUCAAAGAUUAGGGCUUAACCCUAGAUAGGCAGAAUAAACUUUUAAGCUAGAGUUUGGUAGAGGCAGAGGGAAUUCCAGGUGGAGCGGUGAAAUGCGUAGAUAUCGGGAGGAACACCAAAGGCGAAGGCACUCUGCUGGGCCAAUACUAACACUGAGAGACGAAAGCGAGGGGAGCAAAUGGGAUUAGAUACCCCUGUAGUCC